rnacentral:lncRNA from 1 species
CAAAACGACGCCGUUUUAGGAUAUGAUCAAUCCUGACCGUCUAGGUUUCUCAAUCUAAUGGUACGAAACUGAUGGAUUAAUACUAUAUAUAUGUCCAAAUAACCCCCUAGCCUCCCUCUUUCCAUCGUCUCUCAUAUCACCUCUUUAAUUCAAGCAUAACACCACCGUUCACCACCAUCCCCGCUUUGAGCCGCCGGCUAGAAAUCAUCUCCGCCGGCGACAAUUGGCCAAUAUCCGCAAAAAUUACACAACGUCCUCCUCUCAUCCUCCUCAUUACGGAUCCAAACCACUUUCCCCUCAAAUCCCACUUGAUUUGUUCAAAUAUACGAAACCCUAGCGUCGCCUCCGUCGUGUGCGGCGGCGCCACCUCCAAACCCAACCAAAAUCACACCUCAUGGCCUCCUCGACCCCCUCUUCCUGAAUUCCAAACCAAUUUCCUUCAAACCUAGCCAAAAAUGCUCAAAUCCUAGAUGUAGGAUUUAGAUUUGGGGUCUCAAGGAAUUUCUACCUGCUUAGAUGUUUACCGGUGGGCGGCUGAUCUUCAUACGAUGUUGUUUGCUUAUUCUUGGCAAAGAAUAGGGAAAUAACAUCAUUUAGGGAUCAAUUUGAAGAGACGGUUAAGAUUAAUUUUGAAGUCGUGUAAGUAUCUUCAUCUUGUAGCCUUGUUUACUGUUAUUUGCUUUAUUGUUUAGCUUUUGUCUAGUUCCUAUUGAUUUUUCUUCUCCAGUAUGUAAUUUAGAGAAUUUUAAUUAGAAUUAAUUUUGUCAUGCUACUUGUUUGUUCUAGGAUUUUGUUUCUAUUGAUUUAAGUUUAGUUUGGUUAAUUAGUAUUCCUGCCUGCUCUUUGAUUUUUGUUUGCAUGUAUUCUGAUUUUUAAUUUCUUAUUUUUAGUUUGAUUUUUGUUUCAUUUUUGGGUUUUAUGUUAAUUAAAAUCUUGUUUGGAUAUAGUUGAGUAAUUCCCAGCCUUUGAUUAAUCAACUAUGGUCUUUUUUGACCAAGUUCAAAAGGUCUAGGGUUAGUUUGACAUAGGUUAGUAAUUUUAGGAUUAAUUCAAGGGUAGUAUAGACUUUUAGAUAAAAAGAAAUCUUGCAGUAACAGAUUAGGAACACUCUAGGACCUUCUAGAUAGGGUGUUAAUUUGAAAAUUCAACAAGUAAAUGCAGUAACUUGAGAAACAAGUCAAGAGUUUAGGGACUAAUGUAUAAAACUGAAAAUAAAAGAGGGUGGGAAUGGGUAAUGAAAUCUAGAAGCUUCCCUUUCAUUUUCUGCCUAUAAAAUGCACCCCUUUGCCUUCUUUCAGAAGUUUUGAACCUUGAAAAUUUUCCAAAAGUUCCGGCUCUGAAAAUUCCCCCAAAAAUACUCCUAAUUCAAAUCUCUGCAAUUUGAAAUUCAAAAUCCAAAAGCAAGCAAUUGAAGUUCGAUCUCUAUCUUUCGAAAGUUCAGAAAAUAAUACCAAAAACUCUAUUUUACUGUAGUUCCCGGUCCAAAUUUAAAUUCUAGUUCCUACUUAAAAAUUCUAGUUUACUUAAGGGUUAAGUAGCCUAGCUCCCUUGGUUAUGAUUAAUAUUUGAGGUUUUAAAGACUACUGGGUUAAUUACAUGCUAAAUUUGGUUUUGUUCGAGUCAAUUUUGGUUGCAUAAUGGUUUUUCAUGGUUGAAUUCCAAGAUGAAAUUACUGUUGUUGUGGUUUGAUAUUUGAACUGCUGCUGACCUCCUUCGCCUCCUUUAUUUCAUUGUAAUUCCAGUUAUUCUUCAACUUCGAAUAUGUGAAGGACCAAAUUCGAAUUGCUGAAUAAAUGACCAAUUCCUCAUGUUGAUUUCAAGUUUAGCUUAUUACCAUACCUGUUUGUUCACAUGUUGGAUUGUAUAAUAAUAGCAUUUGAUAUUAAUUGCAUAUAACAUGACUGUUCAACCAGAUGUAUAAUUGGACAGUGUAAUAGAUUUAAUUGUAGAGUAUGUUAGUUCGUAUGUUAGCAUAUGUAUAGCUCAUGAUGCCUGUAAAAUCAGGACUAUUGUAGAUCGCAAAAAAUAAUUACAUUUCAAUAAAAUAGGAUCCUUGAAUUUGAUGUUAAGCAGUUCAGUUUCGUCUUUUAAAAGAUUUCGCUAGUUUAGAUCUGAAGAGCAAAUUUAUAAUUAAAUUGAUAAUUGUACUGAAUUUGAAUGUUUCUUUAUAUUUGUUAUUCCAAUCGAUGGGUCUGAGUUGUUUGAGGCUGUUUCUCUAUUUUUUUUGGGCUUAUUCAUAAGCCCAAGGUUGAUAGCUCGUACCACUUGUGUUGAGCCACAACAUACAGAUGUCAGGUCUCCUACCAUACUUACUUGGUAGCCAUCACAAAUGCAACACCUUAUGCUGAUGGGCCAACAUCAAGGACCUGAACUUGCAUUGGGUUCGGAGGUUUAAAUUCUUAACGAAGGGUUUGGGCCUUCCAAGCUAGGCAGCAUAUUUGAAUUAAGAGGCUAUACUCUUGUUCAAGUGUGGUCCUGAGCUUGAGGCCCGAAUUCUUUGAAUACUUUCUAAUAAAUAGCCAAUUAGCAACGCUAAUUAAUUAGGCCCUAUUAGAGACAAAUUCAAUAGAAAAUAAUAGUUUGCUCUAGGUUGGCCUUCUAGAAAUAAAAAUGAGGUGCGCCGCGCCAAAUAAAACUCACCAAUUGUGUGGCCCUCUUUAAAUUUUUAUAUUAAAAUAUGUAGAACUUGGGACGAGUCGUUCAGCGAAUUUCCACGGUCUUCCGCAAAGUUAAUAACAUGUUAGUCGCUUUAGGCGCGUCCUUUAAUAACUUUACCUUCCUAAAUACGGGUGUGCAUUUCAUGUGACCCAAAUCAAGUCCCAAAAUAUUAGAUAAAAUGUGUCAAGGAUUCUGGUGCAUUUCAUGUGACGUGAUCCAAAAACAUGUUUUCAACGACAAUUUCCCAAAAAAUUAUUAAUGUAUAGUGGUAAAUAAUCCCUAAAACGGCACUAUAGGAUUGCAUGUACUAAAAUCAGAUUUUUAGCCAAUUAUAUUAGUUAGAGACCGUGCUAGAACCACGGGACCUGGGGAUGCCUAACACUUUCCCUCAGGUCAACAGAAUUCCUUACUUAGAAUUUCUGGUUCGCAGACUCCAUUUGGAAAGUCGAAAAAUUUCCUCGUUUUGGGAUUCAAAACAAACCGGUGACUUGGGACACCAAAAUAGAAGCCUAUCCCAAGU